CGCUGGCGGCAGGCCUAACACAUGCAAGUCGAACGGUAACAGGAAGAAGCUUGCUUCUUUGCUGACGAGUGGCGGACGGGUGAGUAAUGUCUGGGAAACUGCCUGAUGGAGGGGGAUAACUACUGGAAACGGUAGCUAAUACCGCAUAACGUCGCAAGACCAAAGAGGGGGACCUUCGGGCCUCUUGCCAUCGGAUGUGCCCAGAUGGGAUUAGCUAGUAGGUGGGGUAACGGCUCACCUAGGCGACGAUCCCUAGCUGGUCUGAGAGGAUGACCAGCCACACUGGAACUGAGACACGGUCCAGACUCCUACGGGAGGCAGCAGUGGGGAAUAUUGCACAAUGGGCGCAAGCCUGAUGCAGCCAUGCCGCGUGUAUGAAGAAGGCCUUCGGGUUGUAAAGUACUUUCAGCGGGGAGGAAGGGAGUAAAGUUAAUACCUUUGCUCAUUGACGUUACCCGCAGAAGAAGCACCGGCUAACUCCGUGCCAGCAGCCGCGGUAAUACGGAGGGUGCAAGCGUUAAUCGGAAUUACUGGGCGUAAAGCGCACGCAGGCGGUUUGUUAAGUCAGAUGUGAAAUCCCCGGGCUCAACCUGGGAACUGCAU
rnacentral:rRNA from 1 species